rnacentral:lncRNA from 1 species
UGAUUAAGGUGAUGUUAUGGUGACAGGAGGCUGACUCACAGAAUAAACAGACAUUGAAGGCUCCAGUAGUGAGAUCUCUGGGGAAGCAGCGUGAGAAGAGAAGGAAUCACAGGGCAUAACCAUGAGGGACAGCACCAGGCAUGGAAUGGGUAGGGGGAAAGAGCCUGAAAAGCAGACAGAGGUGCAGCCAAGAGGAAAGAGGAGAAGCACGGGUCACUGUGUCACAGAAGCCAAGAGAGGAAGAAGUGAUGAAAUACGGCCAAUGCCAAAGGGAGAUGGAAAGCCUUCAAAAGUGUUCAGAACGUUGUGUGCUGGAGAGAUGGCUUAGAGGUGAAGAGCACUUGCUGCUUCUCCAGAGCACCUGAGUUCAGUUCCCAGCAUCCGUGUCAGCUCACAAUCACUUGUAACUACAGUUUCGGGAGCUCCAAAGCCCUCUUCUGCUUCCAUGACCAUCCACAUGAAACCCCCACACAUAAAUUUAAAAUUUUUAAAUAAAC